rnacentral:tRNA from 1 species
CCCAACAUACCUCAGUCGGUAAAGCAUCUGCCUGCAAUGCAGGAGACUUGGAUUCAAUUCCUGGGUUGGGA